AGGGCAAGUCUGGUGCCAGCAGCCGCGGUAAUUCCAGCUCCAAUAGCGUAUAUUAAAGUUGUUGCAGUUAAAAAGCUCGUAGUUGAAUUUCGGGGUUAGUAGGUUGGUCAUGCCACUGGUAUGUACUGAUCUUACUGAUUCCUCCUUCCUGAUGAACCGUAAUGCCAUUAAUUUGGUGUUGCGGGGAGACUGGACUGUUACUUUGAAAAAAUUAGAGUGUUUAAAGCAGGCUAACGCUUGAAUACAUUAGCAUGGAAUAAUGAAAUAGGACGUUCGAUCCUAUUUUGUUGGUUUCUAGGAUUGACGUAAUGAUUAAUAGGGAUAGUUGGGGGCACUAGUAUUCAAUUGUCAGAGGUGAAAUUCUUGGAUUUAUUGAAGACUAACUACUGCGAAAGCAUUUGCCAAGGAUGUUUUCAUUAAUCAAGAACGAAAGUUAGGGGAUCGAAGACGAUCAGAUACCGUCGUAGUCUUAACCAUAAACUAUGCCGACUAGGGAUCGGAUGAUGUUAAUUUUUUAAUGACUCAUUCGGCGCCUUACGGGAA
rnacentral:rRNA from 1 species